GGUCACGAGUGCCAGCGCUAAACCCCGGUUUGCUGGCCGGCAACCCUCCAUUCGCGGUGGGGUGCCCCGGGUGACGACCAGGCCGGUCCGGACAUGGAUACGGCAAGCGCGGAUU
rnacentral:ncRNA from 2 species